rnacentral:rRNA from 1 species
GACGAACGCUGGCGGCGUGCUUAACACAUGCAAGUCGAACGAAGAGCGAUGGAAGCUUGCUUCUAUCAAUCUUAGUGGCGAACGGGUGAGUAACGCGUAAUCAACCUGCCCUUCAGAGGGGGACAACAGUUGGAAACGACUGCUAAUACCGCAUACGAUCUAAUCUCGGCAUCGAGGAUAGAUGAAAGGUGGCCUCUACAUGUAAGCUAUCACUGAAGGAGGGGAUUGCGUCUGAUUAGCUAGUUGGAGGGGUAACGGCCCAUCAAGGCGAUGAUCAGUAGCCGGUCUGAGAGGAUGAACGGCCACAUUGGGACUGAGACACGGCCCAGACUCCUACGGGAGGCAGCAGUGGGGAAUCUUCCGCAAUGGACGAAAGUCUGACGGAGCAACGCCGCGUGAGCGAUGACGGCCUUCGGGUUGUAAAGCUCUGUUAAUCGGGACGAAAGGCCUUCUUGCGAAUAGUGAGAAGGAUUGACGGUACCGGAAUAGAAAGCCACGGCUAACUACGU